rnacentral:rRNA from 1 species
UACGGGGGGGGCAAGCGUUGUUCGGAAUUACUGGGCGUAAAGGGCUCGUAGGCGGCCAACUAAGUCAGACGUGAAAUCCCUCGGCUUAACCGGGGAACUGCGUCUGAUACUGGAUGGCUUGAGGUUGGGAGAGGGAUGCGGAAUUCCAGGUGUAGCGGUGAAAUGCGUAGAUAUCCGGAAGAACACCGGAGGCGAAGGCGGCUUGCUGGACCUGGUCUGACGCUGAGGCGCGAAAGCGUGGGGAGCGAACAGG